rnacentral:rRNA from 1 species
CAGUAGCCGCGGGAAUACGAAGGGGGCUAGCGUUGCUCGGAAUGACUGGGCGUAAAGGGCGCGUAGGCGGCCAUUCAAGUUAGACGUGAAAGCCCUGGGCUCAACCUAGGAAUUGCAUUUGAUACUGUUUGGCUUGAGUUCGGGAGAGGUGAGUGGAAUUCCCAGUGUAGAGGUGAAAUUCGUAGAUAUUGGGAAGAACACCAGUGGCGAAGGCGACUCUCUGGUCUGUAACUGACGCUGAGGAGCGAAAGCGUGGGGAGCGAACAGGAUUAGAUACCCGUGUAGUCCCUGUCUCUUAUAC